rnacentral:rRNA from 1 species
UUCCGUAGGGUGAACCUGCGGAGGGAUCAUUACCGAGUUAUACAACUCAUCAACCCUGUGAACAUACCUAUAACGUUGCCUCGGCGGGAACAGACGGCCCCGUAACACGGGCCGCCCCCGCCAGAGGACCCCCUAACUCUGUUUCUAUAAUGUUUCUUCUGAGUAAACAAGCAAAUAAAUUAAAACUUUCAACAACGGAUCUCUUGGCUCUGGCAUCGAUGAAGAACGCAGCGAAAUGCGAUAAGUAAUGUGAAUUGCAGAAUUCAGUGAAUCAUCGAAUCUUUGAACGCACAUUGCGCCCGCCAGUAUUCUGGCGGGCAUGCCUGUUCGAGCGUCAUUACAACCCUCAGGCCCCCGGGCCUGGCGUUGGGGAUCGGCGGAAGCCCCCUGCGGGCACAACGCCGUCCCCCAAAUACAGUGGCGGUCCCGCCGCAGCUUCCAUUGCGUAGUAGCUAACACCUCGCAACUGGAGAGCGGCGCGGCCACGCCGUAAAACACCCAACUUCUGAAUGUUGACCUCGAAUCAG